UGGGGAAUUUUGGACAAUGGGCGCAAGCCUGAUCCAGCAACGCCGCGUGGAGGAUGAAGGUUUUCGGAUCGUAAACUCCUUUUAGGGGGGACGAAACAAAUGACGGUACCCCCAGAAAAAGCCACGGCUAACUACGUGCCAGCAGCCGCGGUAAUACGUAGGUGGCAAGCGUUACUCGGAAUUACUAGGCGUAAAGCACACGUAGGUGGUUGAAUAAGUCUUUGGUAAAAUCUUCUGGCUUAACCGGAAAACGUCCAAAGAAACUGUUUAGCUUGAGUGUGGGAGGGGGAGACGGAAUUCCAGGUGUAGCGGUGAAAUGCGUAGAUAUCUGGAGGAACACCGAUGGCGAAAGCAGUCUCCUGGCCCAAUACUGACACUGAGGUGCGAAAGCUAGGGGAGCAAACAGG
rnacentral:rRNA from 1 species